CACGGCCCUAGUCUGGCCUCGCCCCAUCCCGGCCCCCGGUGGGAGCUGUUGUUCCUCUGAGCGUUCGCUGUCGCGCCUCCCGCGCUCUGGCUGCCCGUCAGCCCGCCGGCCCCUCGCACCUUUCGCCAUUGAUACCGCAGAUCUUCGUCUGUAUCUGAACGAAGGGUAAAAACGUGUUAACGUUCAAAACGACGCCACGAAUGUCAGUGAAGAGAGUGAGGCAGGGCGAGGAAGGGAAAGGCCUCGUGCAGAAGAUUGUACAUCGUGUGUAGCUGGGAGCGUGGCGCAGCAGGGCCGUGCUGAGGAGAGGCCUGCGCUGAGCCUGCUGCUGCCUUCUGUGGCUCUGCCACACUGUGCUGCGCAGGAGCAGGGCCAUGGCAUGUCCUGGCCUGUGUGGAAUCUGCUCCUGAGACAGCGAUGUUUUCAGUGAGUAGCUCUGCCCUGCGGGCCUGGAGUUCCAGGCUGGAAGGAAGCGUGUCGUCGGUGGCCUUCGCCUCCGUGUGAGAGCAGAUCUGGCUGUGUGCUGUGCGUCUUGCUGCUGCACAUUCAAACAAUUGGUUGAAAAAAGUGCUUUGCACUUGGAACGGGAGGUUUUUAGAAUCUUCUACAAACCACGGUGCAACAGUGAGCUGUCAAAGACUGCCUUGCUUCUUCUCCAGAACAACCAUAGACUUUACAACUGAAAUUACUGGGAAGCUGAUGGGGAUUUGUAAUACAUGUGCUAAGUUAUAAAGGCGUUUGGAGAUCGCCUUCCCUGAGUCCUUCAUCACGAAGUGCUUUGUGUGGCUGCACAGGAGGAUGCACAGUUCCAGCUCUGAGCUCCUGGGCCGUGUGGCAUCGGGCCUUCUGGAGAGGCAUGUGGCUGUGGGAAGAUCUGUCCGCGAGUCAGAACUCUCCUGACAGAAAAACGGAGUUAAAAGUUGUUCCUAAGAAAACCUUGUUUCUGCUCAGUUUGCCUCCAUCGGCGUCCAUCAGACCCACGUGUCCCCAGCACCGCACAGCCCUCAGCACUUCUGUGUGCACAGUUUUGUUCACGUCGUUCUCACCGUUCUCGAUCCCCCGCUGCUGACACGUGGAGUUUUAAAACACAGCGACGGCAUGGAGAGGAAAACUUCCCCGGUCUCUGUGGUGGCCACAAAGGAUUCACGUUCCUGACACCAGGGCUCCUUCCCAGGAGGGUAGGUUUAUGUCACGCUGCGUUUUUACAGAAGAUGUGACUGGAUGUAAGUCCGCCUCCUUAGGGCCUUUGUAUCAUUUAGCAUCCUACUGGUAUCUGUUUUCCACUCUGCAGGAAGCCUGCCCCAAACUGACUGUAAAUUACCAGGCAGAAGUCUUUGAUUACUCACCAAUUAUCUCUUUUCCUUUCAGCACAUAAAACGCUCUAUAUGAGAUAAUUCCUGGAAAUUCAGUGUAAAUGGUAACAUUUAAAUUAGCAUGCUGGAAAGUUGGUUGCCUGUUACCUUGAACAGAAAAUUUCCCCCGCGAUUCUUUCUGUUCUAUUGUUUUCCAUGUAAACACAAACCCAGUGUGAGUGCUUGAACACACAGCUUACAUUGUGCUUCUGCUGCUACAGUGACAAAAACAUUCUCACUGAGCUUCUUUGGACUUUACUGAUCACUUUAGUAAGAAGAAAACUCUCAUCAUUGCAGAGAGCUUGAGAUGGAGAGAGGGCUCUCAUUUCUUACCUUAAUCUCAGUGAAACAAACUUUUCAGUGCUUUUCUUGUUUUUGUUUUUGGUUUUUUUUUUUUUUCUUGGAAAAUGCUGGGAAGCAAUAAAAUAAUUGAGAUCUACUUCAGCGUGGUGCCCAGCGCUGGCAGUGCCGCUGACCCCUGGUCCUGUGCCCUACAUGAGGGCACCUGGCUCAGCUGGGUGACGAUAUCACAGAGAUCGCAUUUCUCCACACUUUUCAGUAUUGGAGCAAACAGUAAACAGUUCUGCACUUCUAUACUUCUGCAGAACGUUCCUCCAAAAACUGCUGCUGAGUUUUAAUGUAUCCUGAAGUUCCCAUCUUGUAGUGAAUAGAGGACUUUUUGGCUUUUAACUCUACGUUAUUGUACUUGUUCCUUCCCAGAGGGAAGUGUCCCACAUACGGAGUCAGACACAGAAUUAGACUCUACCUUCCCCUGUGAAAACACUGCAGAGUUUCUCUUUUAUUUUGUUCUACUUUUGUUAAACCUACACAGGGAAUUUUAACUCUCAAAAAAGUUUUACUGACUCUUCCACUCCCAAACAAGAUACAUGUAUAUACAUGUAUAUACACAGAUACGUAAGCGAUCAGCAGCUACUUCUAUUACAGUGACUGUGAAAGAGCUGGAGUGCAUUCCUCUGGGUGCAGCUGGACAGGCUGACCUUGUCAUAGAAAACAAGCAGUGCUGUGCAGUGCUGUGCUGUGCUGUGCAGUGCAGUGCUGUGCUGUGCAGUGCAUCCCUUGGUUUGCAGAUGACAAAACUACAGAAUGCAGGAGAGGUGUUCAUUUAAAUGAAAGGCAGCUGCAAUAAUCCAACACAAACAUCAUUUGUCACCAUCUGUCAGUUGUUUGCACGCUCACAGUGUGACUACAGCACAGGAACUCGCACGCCUCUGUUCCCUGGGCUCCAGAUCUGCAGUAACCCAGCACCAACCCUGAGCAGCCUCAGAGCCGUGUCUGUGUGUCCAUGUGUCUUUGUGUCCAUACGCAUGUUAGAGUGCUUACACAUGUGCACAUGCUCUCACCAGGCAGCUGCUUUCCACAGCAGUGAGGGCCAGGGCUUUGCUCAGCUGGGGGCAAAUCAAACCGAGGUGUACUGCAGCCCUGGGGUCCAGGCGGGCCGAGCAGCAAAGCAGGAGCAGGAGCCAGCUAAGCAGAAAUAUUGGCCUACAUUUUUUUCUCCUCCUGGUGGAAGGCAUGUGAGUUUCUAUGGCAACUUGUGUUUUCUGUUCUGUCAGGCCUACUGACUCAUUUCUGGGGGAGCUGUACAGCUAAGGAAGAUUUUUUCUAUCUUUGCCAAGCCAAGUGGCUUCUUUUCUGCAGCCCGUUGCUCUCACCCAUCUCACUGGCAUUUGAGUCUGGCACGGCUUUUCAGAAUCACUUUAGGGCAACAACAAAUGACAAUGAAACACUACAGCAUCUUCCUGCCCUUGGAGAUCCAUUGCAAAGCAGUUGGGCCUGCCUGCUUCAGGGGAUGCCAGCCCUACCUGCAGGCCUGCAGGGGCCAGCUGUGAGGCAUGAGCUGGUAGGAGCUCUUUGAAGGGGCACAGCUGUGCCCAGCUCUGCCCCCAGCCCUCCUCCAGCCUCAGCAUGCCACAUCUCUGUAGCCAGAGGCUUCUUUUUGAACCUGCCAGUCCAUUUCACCUUUAACUGAUAUGUUUGGCCGGGAGCCUUGCUCUAACAGCUACAUCCCAAAGGGUUUCCCUCACAUGGACCAACAUCCAUUGCUAAAAUAAUUGGUUUGUGGCAUUGUGGUGACAUCUCAAUUGCCCUGGAUCAAAUGUUCCAUGGGAACGGAUCUCCCACGAUCUUACCUGAUCACUCUGGUUUUUGUAAUUGGGAAAUUACAUGCCAUGGACGCACAGGCUGGAUUUUUCAGGAGUGUGCAGGGAUGCUGAGUAACCACUUUUCCUUGAAAUAGUGGGAUGGGGUUUGCAGGUUUGCAUCUGUUUCUCCAGGCCCUGCAGAAAAUUGCAGCUCUGACAUCCCAGAGAACGUGGUGGACGCUCUCACCACCAGCAAUUCUUCUGAAGCUUUUUCUUUUGCCUAAUCACAAACAUAUGGUGCACGUUAAGGGAGAUUAUCUUCACAAAAUGCAGCCUUCCUUUAGCUUUGCAAGGUCACAGCAGCGCUGCAGUUAAGCGGUAAACAGAAGGAAAACGUUCAGGCAGCAUGACCUUGGUCAAUCGGUUAAUCUUUCUCUAUUCUAUUUUCUCCAGCAAAACAAAAAGCUAUCCCUGCAAAGUGCUCGGAGAUCCUGGGGCGAAAGGUGCACCGUAAGCCCAGAGUAUUAAUUAUUUAAGCCCUGAUUGUCCGCUUGGUACGGGAGGGAAUAGAGAUGAAUUUACUGUCUGUUAUUGUCUGUUUGUUUAGAUAUAGCUGCUGUUUGUGUUGAUUGCAGCCCUUGGCUCGCAGUACACCAGGCAGGUUGGAGGCUGCAGGCACUGUAUGUUGCUUCUCCUUUUGGUUCAUGACACUGAGAUUUAGAAGCAACAGUGAGGCGAGCAGCAACAGAAUUACUACUACUACUAUUAGUUACUACUACAGGGAGUACGAACAUUUAAAAAGACUCCUGUUAGCAUUUUAUGCAGAGCUUCUUAUUAAUUACACUGCAAGGGGGAGGAGGGCUAGGAUGCAGUCAGCACUGAGCGUCAUCGUGUGCUGCCAGCCUGAUGUGUGUCCUGGGAAAUGGCACCUGCGUGUGACAGGGAGAGGAAGAGGGCUCACUUCUCUUGUUCUAUCCUGUAAUGUCAGUUCUCCAGGUUUUGUGGGGAAACCUCAUCUAAAAUUGCUCACAAAUUGGAUUUUGGUUGUUAGAUUAAGCUGUGUUGCACAGUGUAAAACAUUGAUUGUUAGAUUUUAGAACGCUGAAUAAUGUAUGUGCCCAUGGCCUGCUGAACUGGAUCGUGGCAGUGGGAGUGCUCUGGCCCUUUUCGGAGCAGCCCCAGACAAUGACUGCUUUAAGACAGAGGCAAACUUUGAGUUCUCUAGUUGUCUGGUGUCUGAUUUUAAAAGGGAAAUCUUUUCUUACGUUGUUUUAUGUUACUGAGAUUUCAUUUUAUAGUGCCUCACAAUGUGAUCCUACCAUAAGCACAAAGGAUGCUUUUUAGAGCUGUUGUCCCUUAAAACCUGCUUUUACCAUCAUUCUCUUUUCACAUGGCUACAUAUUAUGGGUACACAAAUGUACAAGCAUGAGCACAUGUAAACAGAAAGGGAAAAUUGUAUUUUUAUGAUCCAUGCAGAUAUUAUCAUAAAUCUAAAUAAAAUCCUUUUUCAGAA